UAACGGCGAGUGAAGCGGCAAAAGCUCAAAUUUGAAACCGUUCGCGGGUUGUAAUUUGUAGUGUGUCUUGUGGCUCUGGCAUAAGUACCUUGGAACAGGUCACUAUAGAGGGUGAGAGUCCCGUUGCCUCUGCCGUUAUACUUGACACUCCACGAGUCGAGUUGUUUGGGAAUGCAGCUCAAAGUGGGUGGUAAAAUCCAUCUAAAGCUAAAUAUUGGCGAGAGACCGAUAGCGAACAAGUACAGUGAUGGAAAGAUGAAAAGAACUUUGAAAAGAGAGUGAAAUAGUACGUGAAAUUGUUGAAAGGGAAGGGCAUACUGGGAGAAGUGCAGUUGCUGUUCAGCGUUCUCUUGGGAGCGUGUACUCAGUUUCUGUGUGGGCCGGCGGCGGUUGGUGCGUGGAUAAAAGGUUGCAACUUGUUGCUGCUCAAUACACGCGCCGGCCGUUCCUCGUCCGUAAUCCCAGUCUGCCACCCGUCUUGAACCACCGGAC
rnacentral:rRNA from 1 species